UAUGUCAAAACGCUUCCAUUUUAAAAAAAAAGGAGUACUGAUGAAAGCAGUAAUUGGAUUUGGUAAAAAGUAAUAUAGAAAGUUUUUUAAAAAACUAUUUUAUGUUUAAGAGACCUUUCAAAAGUUCAUGACCAUUUCUACGAGAAACUAAUCUUUAGUCCAACCUUCGUAAAUCUCGCUUAUAUUAAGCUUGAUUUUACUUCGGUAUUUAUGGAUGACGCGAACACUAAACUGGUAUAGAAAAAACGCUAUUACUUUCAGCAUCUAAAGAAAAUCAUUUAUGAUAAUUUCUAUGCUUUCAAUUAUAUCUAAAUAUUUACAUGCUCAAUCAUUCAAAGCGAUGCUACAAAAAUAUUAUGUUUUAGUUGUCGACUCGAAUUUCAGUAAAAUCCUAACUUUAUUGCUAGACAUCCGUAGGUUUUCAUUUAUGCUAUAAAUCUGUGAAUCACCUCGUGAUCGGCAAGUUGUUAAAAUAAUCUUUUAAGUAACUCUAAUACCAUGCACUAUAGUAAAGAAGGUAUAUAUUUCUUUGCGUGCCUAGUUCUUGUUUUCAAUAGCAAUAGUCGUUAUCUCCCAUAGCUUUUAAUUCUGCUCAUCGAUGA